rnacentral:rRNA from 1 species
GACGGAGGAUGCAAGUGUUAUCCGGAAUCACUGGGCGUAAAGCGUCUGUAGGUGGUCAAAUAAGUCAACUGUUAAAUCUUGAGGCUCAACCUCAAAAUCGCAGUCUAAACUAUUAGACUAGAGUAUAGUAGGGGUAAAGGGAAUUUCCAGUGGAGCGGUGAAAUGCGUAGAGAUUGGAAAGAACACCGAUGGCGAAGGCACUUUACUGGGCUAUUACUAACACUCAGAGACGAAAGCUAGGGUAGCAAAUGGG